AUCAGCUUUCCAAAGAGAAUUUUUCAAUCACAGAAGUAAGUUGUUCUCCAGAAUCAGCUCUCUAUUGAAAGGUCAAAAC
ensembl:misc_RNA